AUUGAACGCUGGCGGCAUGCUUUACACAUGCAAGUCGAACGGUAACAGGCCGCAAGGUGCUGACGAGUGGCGCACGGGUGUGUAAUGCAUCGGAACGUGCCCCGUCUUGGGGGAUAACUACUCGAAAGAGUAGCUAAUACCGCAUACGAUCUAUGGAUGACAGCGGGGGGCCGUAGGGCCUCGCGCGAUUGGAGCGGCCGAUGUCGGAUUAGGUAGUUGGUGGGGUAAAGGCUCACCAAGCCAACGAUCUGUAGCUGGACUGAGAGGACAACCAGCCACACUGGAAGUGAGACACGGCCCAGACUCCUGCGGGAGGCAGCAGUGGGGAAUUUUGGACAACGGGCGCAAGCCUGAUCCAGCAAUGCCGCGUGCAGGAAGAAGGCCUUCGGGUUGUAAAGUGCUUUUGUACGGAACGAAACGGCUCUGGUUAAUACCCGGGGAUAAUGACGGUACCGUAAGAAUAAGCACCGGCUAACUACGUG
rnacentral:rRNA from 1 species